UGAAUAAAUAAAUGAAAACAUUUCAUGUGA
rnacentral:piRNA from 1 species